UACGUAGGGUGCAAGCGUUGUCCGGAAUUAUUGGGCGUAAAGAGCUCGUAGGCGGUUUGUCGCGUCUGCUGUGAAAACCCGAGGCUCAACCUCGGGCCUGCAGUGGGUACGGGCAGACUAGAGUGCGGUAGGGGAGAUUGGAAUUCCUGGUGUAGCGGUGAAAUGCGCAGAUAUCAGGAGGAACACCGGUGGCGAAGGCGGAUCUCUGGGCCUUACCUGACGCUCAGGUACGAAAGCUAGGGGAGCGAACAGG
rnacentral:rRNA from 1 species